rnacentral:rRNA from 1 species
UAUCUCCGAAUCUGCGAACGGCUCCGCAAACCAGUUGCAAACCAAGGCGAGUCUCCGCUCCCCCUUCGGGGGGCUGCUUAUAUGGAUAACCGUGGUAAUUCUGAGGCUAAUACAUGACACAAACCUAGCCGCCCGGCUUGCCCCUCGGGGCGGUCGCGGUGGCGGGGGGCGUGCGAUCACAGGCUGGGUACAUCGGGACUGGACGCACGUUCAGACCACCACUCAGGGCCUUGUGGGAGCGGGGGGCAACCCCCGUGACCGCUUGGCCUGGUGGCGCCCGCAUCGGACUCCUGACCUAUCAACUAGACGGCAGCAGAGGGGACAUGCCACGGUGGCAACGGGUACAGAGGAUUAGGGUUCGAUCCUGGAGAGUGGGCCUGAGAGAUU